AAGUCGUAACAAGGUCUCCGUAGGUGAACCUGCGGAGGAUCAUUACUGAGUGAGGGCCCCCCGGCCCGACCUCCAACCCUUUGUGAUACCACUAUGUUGCCUCGGGGCGACCCGGCCUUCGGGCGCGGGCCCCGGUGGACCCCCCAACGCUGCAUCUUUGCGUCUGAGUACAAAUAUAAAUCAAUUAAAA
rnacentral:misc_RNA from 1 species